rnacentral:sRNA from 1 species
AGGGCUGGGCUAGAGUGCCACCUCCGGUCUCCAUGGCAACCUCCCAGGGCUUUCCAGGAGACUCUAGGAUGCCUUUUGGGCAAGCUGGGCUGGAGCCCACCCUUACUGAGCACCUGGGAGCUGUCAGACAAAAAGGGAGACCCUGGCAUCCAAGGCAUCAAAGGAGAGAAGGUGAGGGAGCCCUGCUCUCCUGGCUGCCCUCCUCUGCCUACCUGGAAGCAUUUCUGAUCCUUCCUCUUCUUUCCCCAGGGGGAGCCCUGCUUGUCCUGCAGCUCGGUUGUAGGGGCCCAGCAUCUUGUGUCCUCCACAGGGGCCAGUGGAGAUGUGGGUUCCCCUGGCUUUGGUCUGCCUGGCCUUCCGGGUAGAGCUGGGGUUCCAGGGCUGAAAGGAGAGAAGGGUAACUUCGGGGAGGCAGGGCCAGCUGGCAGUCCAGGGACACCAGGACCAGUGGGGCCAGCAGGCAUCAAAGGGGCGAAGGGGGAGCCCUGUGAGCCGUGCCCAGCCCUGUCCAACCUUCAGGAUGGGGAUGUCCGUGUGGUGGCCUUGCCUGGCCCAUCCGGAGAGAAGGGGGAACCUGGGCCUCCAGGCUUUGGCUUGCCAGGAAAACAGGGCAAGGCUGGAGAGCGUGGACUGAAGGGGCAGAAGGGUGAUGCUGGGAAUCCUGGAGACCCUGGAACGCCGGGCACCACAGGGCGGCCAGGACUGUCAGGAGAGCCUGGAGUUCGGGGCCCCGCGGGGCCAAAAGGAGAAAAGGGUGAUGGCUGCACUGCCUGCCCCAGCCUGCAGGGGACAGUGACCGACAUGGCAGGACGGCCUGGGCAGCCCGGCCCCAAAGGAGAGCAGGGCCCCGAAGGCGUGGGCCGACCUGGUAAACC